GGGCGAACAGUCGAAACUGCUCCGGGAUGCGGUACUGCUCCCGGAGCCGGUCGACGUUUGGCCCCGAAAGUGAAGAAACCUCCACCUCCGGGGUCGACCGAGUGUCUUCGGUCGGCUCUCCCGACCGACUACCUCGUGGGGACGUCCUAGCCAUGGAUUCAGAGCAGAUGGCAAGGAAGAAGAAGAAGAAGGUGGGGAAGAUGACAAUGGCCC
rnacentral:lncRNA from 1 species